GCAACGAGCGCAACCCUUGUUCUUUAGUUGCCAUCAUUAAGUUGGGCACUCUAAAGAGACUGCCGGUGUCAAACCGGAAGGAAGGGUGGGGAUGACGUCAAGUCCUCAUGGCCUUUAUGACCAGGGCUACACACGUACUACAAUGGCAGGUACAAAGGGCAGCCACUUAGCGAUAAGGCGCGAAUCCCGUAAAACCUAGUCUCAGUCCGGAUUGGAGUCUGCAACUCGACUCCAUGAAGUUGGAGUCGCUAGUAAUCGCAGAUCAGCACGCUGCGGUGAAUACGUUCCCGGGCCUU
rnacentral:rRNA from 1 species